rnacentral:pre_miRNA from 1 species
AACAUACCACACUACCCUUUUAAAAACUAUCCUAUAUGUUAGAUGCUUAUUGCAUAGCCUAAUUUUGUUUUCUCAUGGUGCAGCAGGUUAGUUUCUUGUGUACCUCUAGAUAUAUAUUCUCUUGCUGCCUAGGGUUCCCAAGCUGCCCAUUUUUUUUUUUAAACUGUUCCCCAAACACCCAUCCAAUAAGAAAGGUCUACUUUGUAGCUCAAAGCUAUUAGAGUUGUGCUCGCGUCUUGGUUUUACUG